GUCAUUCUUCAUAUCAAAACCAAAUUAUGGGAAUUAUCAAGCCUUCAUUCUCUCUCCUCAUUUCUUGCUUCCUCUCAGCUUUGUUACUUUUCUUCUCUCAUGGAGGAGUCUUCGCAAGCAGCAUAGUUAAUCUAGAUGCGCCGCCAAGUUCAACAACUUCAGCAUUUGUGCCGCCCAGUGAUUCAAAGCGAGGCCCUGGUUUUCAACGAAGUCCUUAGAAAGUCGUUCAUAUUUGGAUUUUAUUGUUGUCCUUUUUAAUAAUAUAAUUUUAAAGAUUUAAAUUCACGUUUUCUCAUUAAAAAUAUAAUACGUGUUAUUAUUGCAUCUAAUAUUUAUCAGUGUAAUAUAUAGAUCUUUAUGUCAAAAAGACAUCAUGAAAGCAUGUAAUGACUAUUUUAGGAUUGGUAGAAUAAUUCCGAAAAAAUAAGUGGAGUUUUCAUCA